ACUUUACUAGGUGAGCCAUUUCCCUGGCCGUUCUCUCUCUCUCUCUCUCUCUCUCUCUCUCUCUUUCUCUCUCUUUCUCUCUCUCUCUCUCUGUCUUUCUUUCUUUCUUUCUUUCUUUUCUUUCUCUUUCUUUCUUUCUUUCUUUCUUUCUUUUCUUUCUCUCUCUCUCUCUCUCUCUCUCUCUCUCUCUUUCUUUCUUUCUUUCUUUCUUUCUUUCUUUCUUUCUUUGUAGAGUAUGCAAAGAUUAUCCUGUAGAAUAUACUGCUAGUAAAAAUGUCCUGUUGCGCUCUGAGAGUGAAGGCCUUGGGGAACAGGUAGCUUGUGAGAUUUGAAUAGUUUGAAAUUGAAUUGGUUUUGUGAACCAAAUUUUGAAAAUGUGAUCAUUAAAUUCCCUCUUUAUAGACAUGACACUAACUGAUUACAUACAUUUUCUUUUUGGUUCCUAUACAAAUGUUGUCUCCUCAUUUUUUUAAAGUAAAGUUACUUUUAAUUACCUGUGUGUGUGUGCAUGUGUGUACCAAUACAUGCAUGUCGAUGUACAUUCUAAGGUCAGAGGGCAGCCUGAAAGGGUAGGUUCUCUUGCACUCUGUGGGUCCCAGUGAGCUCGGCCUGUCAGUCUUAGUCAGAACCGCCUCUACCCGCUGAACUGUUUUGCUAACUCUGAAACGGGUUGGCCAGGGUUCCUGAGGACAGGUCCUCACCGCCUACAGCCUUUUCCUCCUAAAGCUGAUUGCACUUCUAUUGAAGGAAUGGCAGAGCUCAGAGAGAAGGAGACCUAGAAUGAAUGGCGAUGUGGCGAGGUGAUGGAACCUCUGCUGUGGUGCAGUCUGUUGUCUUAAAUGCUCCCAGAAGUGUUUGCAAGGGGAGCUGUGGCAGCAAGGUCACGAGUUUGAGGCUAGUCAGGAUACUUACUGACACCCUUCCAAGAAGGCAUUGCUCAUUUUCUCCAAGAGCAUUCACCCCCGUCUGACCUUUUCUCUCUUCCUUUUGGAAGAGAGGUAGGGGCAGCGGACACAGAGUCCUAUGUGAUCUCCCAAGCUACUCUGCAGUUUGCUAUGUAGACCAGGCUAGUCUCAAACUCAUUGCAGUCCUGCAAGUCUCCAAAUUCUGGGAUAACAGGUCUGAGCUCCUGUGCCCAGUACCCCUGCCCUUUCCUUUUUAUAACUGAGAGCUAUACAAUUUUAGAGAUAUACUUUAGACAUUAAACUCUCAAUGGAGUUAAUUUACUUGUUUCUGUAAUCCGUGUUGUAUGAACUUAGAAGUAAGGUUUUAUUCUCUGCCACAUGGUGAAAUAAUUCAAAAGUCCCACAGAUAAUGAGGGAUCACUUUGGGCUAAUUUAUCUUCCCAGAAAUAAGAAUGACUAUACAUCUUUAGAUACAAUGUAAUUCUAUUUUUUUGUUCCUGAAAAGUAUUUUUGGGGGAAUGAAACCCUUACUUGAUAAUAUUACAAUUCUGUCUAUCUUUUAUUUUUAUUGACAUUUAGUAAAACUUGAGUUUUAAGAAGUCAGGAGUCCAAGUACGCUUAUUUUAUUGAAUAAUUAAAUAAAUUUUUAGUUGUUAAUAUGGAUUUUGUCUUUUUUUUCUUUCUUGUUUUCCUCUUUGAGGGGCUGGAUAUAAUUGCCUUGUUUCAUUUCAGGGAUCCUUCUAAAGUAAAUAUUCUGGUACCUGGUGCUGGACUAGGAAGAUUGGCCUGGGAAGUAGCUAUGCUAGGUUAUGCUUGUCAAGGAAAUGAAUGGAGUUUUUUUAUGCUCUUUUCUUCCAACUUUGUACUCAACAGGUAUUUAAUUUACUUUUUGAUGGAAAUAGUAAUUUCUUAAAAUCAAAUUGCCUUGCCUAUUUUUGAACAAUUCUGAAUUAGAAGAAAAAUAUAUAGUACUUGCUUGCUGUAGAUCAUAUUUACAUUAAAUUCAUAAUGCUUAUACCGAUGGCCACUGUAAUCAGUGUUAAUUUAAUUAGUUGUUUAACAGUGUUGACACAGGGCAAGCAAACAACUCUUUAGAAAGUAAUUGGGCAUUCCAUGAAGCUAAAAUAAUUUCUCUAAGCUUUUUCACUUUUUGUUUCUUGGUGAGGUAAGAGUUUAUUUUAGCAAUUGUAACUAUUUUCUCUGACGACUUCCUAUAAGUGGCCAUACCUGUUCACAUGACAGUGGAUUGAGGAUCCGAGAAUUUCUGUGUCCUCUACCAGAAGGUAGUAGAAAAGAGUUAUUAUUUUUAAGUCAGAAGAUGCAGUGUAUUUGAGACAAAGAACUAGCUGCCUGUUUCAAUAGCACGUUACUGGUAACUUAGUACAAUGCUGUGUUAUUGGUGACAAUGUACAGUUUAGGUUGCUGGUGAGCUGGGGAAGGAGGGUUAUUAUGUAAAAUAGUAGAAAUGGGUAGAAUAGCAAGACUAGUGUGCUUGUUAUAUUCACCUUUGAGGUUCAGGAAUACAUUUUUGCUGGGUGUGGUGGCACAGGCCUCUAAUCUCAGCUCUUGGGAGAGGACAACAGGAGGAUUAAGAAUUCAGUGCCAUCCUCAGUGACACAGUGGGUUUGAGGCCAGCCUGGCUACCUAAGACCCUGUCUAAGGAAACAAGAACAUUGUAGUAAUUUUUAAAAAUUUGAAUGAAUAGUACAUGAAAGAAUCUCUGAAUUUCUUUUAAUCCAUGGUUGGUCAUCUACCUGUAUACACAGUGUCAGAUAACUUAGUACAGUGUAGUGUUGGCACUCUUCAAGUCUAAUGAUUUACCUCAAUUAAUAGAUGAUACUUUUGUGCUUAAAGUAGGUUUUUUUCCCCCCUAGGUAAAAUGUGUGGCUAACAUUGAACCAUAUGCUCAUAUUUUACAGAUGUUCUGAAAUUAACAAAUAUAAACUUUAUCCCUGGAUCCAUCAGUUUAGCAAUAAUCGGAGAUCAGCUGAUCAGAUCCGACCCAUUCUUUUCCCUGAUGUUGACCCCCACAGUCUUCCUCCUGGUUCUAACUUUUCCAUGACAGCAGGAGACUUUCAGGAGAUUUACUCAGAAUGCAGUAAGUUCAAAGCAAGUAUUUAAAAGUUCUUAACAGUUAUUCUAGAAAUGAUCUAGUGUUGUAACCAUUUAUCUUGAUGGCGGAAUAUAAGAUGUGCAAUGUUAGUGACAAUGUAAAGUAUUUUCAGGGUGGUGUAAAGACAAUGACAGUAAGUGUAAAGAAAUUUAUGUAUAUUCAGGAGAUGUUGACUGUUAACAAAAGACAACUUAGGAGCACAAAUUAUGCUGAAUGCACUAAGAUGAAAAUAAGCGAGUGUGGGCUGGAGCUCUGUAAAGAGGCUGUGACUGGACAGACAGAUGAAUAGUACUUGAGGUACUGUGAUGCAAAGAAUAAGAUCACUGGGGACCGCAGCAGGCCUAGUCUGACAAGAAAAGAAACUUUAUGGAAGCAUGGCUUGAGAGUUAGGUUAGCUUCAGUUGUAGAAGACUUGUAUCGGAUUGGAAGUUACAUUUUAGCCUGAAGACCAUUGGAGGGAUGCAGGAAUGGGAAGAAUGAAUUGGCAGUAAUAGGAAAAGGAAACAGAGUUGUGAGUGGCAGCAAGAGCAUCCUUUCAACAUAUAUCUGUUUGUCACCUCUUAAAUGCCAAGUGUAUUAAAGCACAACAGAUAGCAAAACGAAGUCCCUAGCCAAGUCUGGAAGGGACAGAGAGGCCAUAACAUACAAUAUUGUUUGGG
rnacentral:lncRNA from 1 species